rnacentral:rRNA from 1 species
GACGAACGCUGGCGGCGUGCUUAACACAUGCAAGUCGAACGAAGAGCGAUGGAAGCUUGCUUCUAUCAAUCUUAGUGGCGAACGGGUGAGUAACGCGUAAUCAACCUUCCCUUCAGAGGGGGACAACAGUUGGAAACGACUGCUAAUACCGCAUACGAUCUAAUCUCGGCAUCGAGGAUAGAUGAAAGGUGGCCUCUACAUGUAAGCUAUCACUGAAGGAGGGGAUUGCGUCUGAUUAGCUAGUUGGAGGGGUAACGGCCCACCAAGGCGAUGAUCAGUAGCCGGUCUGAGAGGAUGAACGGCCACAUUGGGACUGAGACACGGCCCAGACUCCUACGGGAGGCAGCAGUGGGGAAUCUUCCGCAAUGGACGAAAGUCUGACGGAGCAACGCCGCGUGAGUGAUGACGGCCUUCGGGUUGUAAAGCUCUGUUAAUCGGGACGAAAGGCCUUCUUGCGAAUAGUGAGAAGGAUUGACGGUACCGGAAUAGAAAGCCACGGCUAACUACGUG